CGGGCGUGAGUUGCCGGCGCCGGCGUCUCCGGAAUGAAUGCGCUCAUGGCGGUGAAGCCACCGAAGAGCGUCAGCGGCUGUGUCACGCUUAACCGGACACCAGGAAUGCAGAUCAGUUGACAGCUUUCAACUCUGAAUUUUUGCCAGCUCACGCGAGCUCCUCGAGACUCAGCGACUCGCUUCCUCGGCGUCACAGCGGCAGUGGAGCUCGUAGUCCAGCAGGCGGCCCAGUCGGGUCCCGGCCAGAUGUUGUCCGAACAUCUGGUCCAUCCUGAGGCUCUGCUCCUCGCUGAAGUGGUUCCUCCAGUCUCCGACCUCACCUGGAACAAUUGCAGGAGGCCCCAUGAGCAUAAAAGUUGCAUCCCACAUUGAAAACUCCAGAGGAACUAAAGACGGAAUGAAAUGUUCUACAAUCACAUUUGAAGAUGAAAAUUGAGAGGAUUAUUUGAAAUGUUUAUGCAUAAUACUGAUCCAAAAUAUGACUAUGAGGUGCAGGUAUUGUUGUUGUUCGGCCGGUGUGACGGUCUGAGCGCUCCCCCGUGCUGAAAAAGUCUCCUUGUGAUUAAUGCGGAUGCGUUACUAACAGGGGAACUCUGAGUACGUAGCAGAUGCUUAUUGGGAAAUCCCCCGGUCUCAUAGUUCCCCUUCUAAGCUAACAUACGUUAUAACCUAACCUUAAAACAAAAGUUGAUAAAAAGAGAUACACAUAUAUGUACGUUUGCUGUGUUCGUCUUUCCGAGACGUCCGUAGCGAACACGGACGCUCGGCGACAAGUUGUCGAAUGGCACAUGUUGAAGCGUGGAUGGGGAGGUUUCAAACCGGCCGGAAGUUUACAAAAUAUACGCGCAUUCGCGUUACUCACAAGGAGACUUUUCAGCACGGGGGACCGCUCAGACCGUCACAUUCUACAUUGUACUAUCUGUGACUUUGAAUGUUUGUGGCUUUAAAAGGGUGGGGCCUGACCUGGCGAGUGACGUGCGACCAAGAGAAUGAGAGUGUAAUGUAAUUGUUAGAUGGUUACAA